rnacentral:rRNA from 1 species
UGGCGGGCGGGUGAGUAAUGUCUGGGAAACUGCCUGAUGGAGGGGGAUAACUACUGGAAACGGUAGCUAAUACCGCAUAACGUCGCAAGACCUAAAGAGGGGGACCUUCGGGCCUCUUGCCAUCGGAUGUGCCCAGAUGGGAUUAGCUAGUAGGUGGGGUAACGGCUCACCUAGGCGACGAUCCCUAGCUGGUCUGAGAGGAUGACCAGCCACACUGGAACUGAGACACGGUCCAG